UGGAUNCAUGAGGUAGCAAAUACGAUGA
rnacentral:piRNA from 1 species